rnacentral:tRNA from 2 species
GCUAAGUUGGCAGAAUUUAUGUGCUAAAUUUAGAAUUUAGAAAAAUGAUUUUUAUCAUACUUAGUA